rnacentral:rRNA from 1 species
AUUGAACGCUGGCGGCAGGCUUAACACAUGCAAGUCGAGCGGAGAGAGGUAGCUUGCUACUGAUCUUAGCGGCGGACGGGUGAGUAAUGCUUAGGAAUCUGCCUAUUAGUGGGGACAACAUUUCGAAAGGAAUGCUAAUACCGCAUACGUCCUACGGGAGAAAGCAGGGGAUCUUCGGACCUUGCGCUAAUAGAUGAGCCUAAGUCGGAUUAGCUAGUUGGUGGGGUAAAGGCCUACCAAGGCGACGAUCUGUAGCGGGUCUGAGAGGAUGAUCCGCCACACUGGGACUGAGACACGGCCCAGACUCCUACGGGAGGCAGCAGUGGGGAACAUUGGACAAUGGGCGGAAGCCUGAUCCAGCCAUGCCGCGUGUGUGAAGAAGGCCUUAUGGUUGUAAAGCACUUUAAGCGAGGAGGAGGCUACUUUAGUUAAUACCUAGAGAUAGUGGACGUUACUCGCAGAAUAAGCACCGGCUAACUCUGUGCCAGCCGCCGCGGUAAGAC